rnacentral:rRNA from 1 species
CUACGGGCUGCAGCAGUCAGGAAUAUUGGGCAAUGGACGAAAGUCUGACCCAGCGAUGCCGCGUGCAGGAAGAAGCCCUUCGGGGUGUAAACUGCUUUUGCGUGGGAACAAGCCGCAAGGCUGAGCGUACCACGAGAAUAAGGGGUUGCUAACUCUGUGCCAGCAGCAGCGGUAAUACAGAGACCUCAAGCGUUACCCGGAUUUACUGGGCCUAAAGCGUCCGCAGGCGGUUUCACACAUCUCCUGUUAAAUCCGUGCGCUCAACGUACGGGCCGCAGGAGAGAUGGUGAAGCUAGAGGCCGGGAGAGGCGAGUGGAAUUACCGGUGUAGGGGUAAAAUCCGUUCAUAUCGGUAAGAACACCAAAGGCGAAAGCAGCUCGCUAGAACGGUCCUGACGCUCAUGGACGAAAGCGUGGGGAGCAAAAAGGAUUAGAUACCCGUGUAGUC